rnacentral:lncRNA from 1 species
UCUUCCUAAAAGGCGUCAUUGUGUGCCCAAAGGGUUUCUGGACUUGGACAUCAUGGUGGACUGGAAAAUAUCUUUAAAAGCAGAACAACAUGCCCAGUGCAAAGCAUUGACUCCCUCAUCAAGAACUAAUGAGAGGGUCAAAUUAGAUCAAGACCCAAGUUGGCCACAGACACAAGCCUGUAAGAUGCUUCUGGCCUUCACACACAGCAGGGGCAUCUGCUGGUGGGACUUGAGAGACAGGCUCCAGUUCUCUGAAGGGCUUCCCCAGAACUGGAGAAUGAGGAAUUCCAUGUGUGCUCACAUAUGCAUUCUGCAUCUUCAUCUGCCGCAUGAACUGAAUCCUGAAAGGAACAUCUGCCUAGCAGGGAGUGCAGAUGGCCAGAUCUCACUGAGUCAGCAAACAGAGCCCUUGCAAGGGGUCGGUCCUCAGGUACAGAUGGCCUCCAGGGGAGCCUCCCACCUCGGAGGAAAGCUGCUAGCAUCCUGGAGUUCCUAAGCAUGAGAGAGCCAGGUAGUCCAAAAUAUCUACAGGAAGAGGAUUCCACCUGUGCCAUCUCAGAAGCCAGGUCUUCUUGGAAGAUCUAUGCUGUUUCAAAGGCUUUCCCAC